GACGUAGGGCGCGAGCGUUGUCCGGAUUUAUUGGGCGUAAAGAGCUCGUAGGCGGCUUGUCGCGUCGACUGUGAAAACCCGCGGCUCAACUGCGGGCUUGCAGUCGAUACGGGCAGGCUAGAGUUCGGUAGGGGAGACUGGAAUUCCUGGUGUAGCGGUGAAAUGCGCAGAUAUCAGGAGGAACACCAAUGGCGAAGGCAGCACUCUGGGACGGUACUGACGCUGAGACGCGAAAGCGUGGGGAGCAAACAGGG
rnacentral:rRNA from 1 species